ACUCAGAGCUGCAGAACCUAGCCCCGAUGGAUACAUCUUUUAUCUUUAAACAAGAAAAAGGGACACCAUUUUCAAGUGUAAAGAUGAGGAUGAAGAAAGGCUUAAUGGAGGAGUUAAUAGUAGAAGUAGGUCUUGUAAAUUGAAGAACACACACACUCUAUCAGAGAAGGAAUAGAAAGGGACAAGACUGAAGAACUGCUCAAGCAGAGGGCUCCAGGGACUUGGAACAGAGGUUAAUUAUCCACAUUAAUACAUAGAGAUGUUGUUGGCAUGAGACUUUCUCAAGUCUCAAGCAUUGGCUGAAGGUGUGACUCAGAUCAUGCACUUUCUGACUCCAAAGGCCCUUUCUUGCCAAAUUCACCAUCAUGGAAGGAUACUGUCAAUUAAGAGUCCUAUAAUGGUACAGAACAUUGAGAAAUCAGGCUGGAUCUGAGCUAGAAGUCUCCUCCCUGAUGGCUGGCUUUCAUGAUGCCAGUAGGUGAUAAGCAAAGUGCUGGGGAAGAAAGGCUCAUGAAUGAUCCUAUCCAGGUUGGGGCUUCAGCAUGACAAUAAUGGCAUGUCUGGAAAGGGGAGGCCACAGCUCCGGCAAACUGUGAAAUAGUGGAGGAAAAGCCUCAAUCGGCAGAAGAGAGAAGGGAUUGCAGGACUGGAAACUACAUCUCCUGCACAACUGAAGCGAGGAGCUGUAUCUCUGUACUUCUCUCCCUCCCCUCCCUUUCUCUCUCUCAGCUUCUUUUGGAAAAGGCCAUUUAACCCCCCUUCCUAGUGGAAUGUUUCCUGUGGGUCUCAGGGCAGCUCCUUUUGU
rnacentral:lncRNA from 1 species